ensembl:lncRNA
AUGGUUCCUUUCCAGAGCCACCUGGUGUGCAAAAUCCACCUAUGCACCAUGGCAUCCAGGCUGAGAGAAGGGCACUUCUCUAUCGCUGCACAUGUUUUGGGCAAUGCUGAGUUGUGGUUUAGUAUACAGAAGAAGACUGACCCCCAUGAAUCUCAAACCUAUGAAGAAAUUUCAGUCACCAUUCAAAUUGUUGAGACAGAGGAAUAUAUUUUCUGUCAUCCAGACCUCUCCUUGUAGUUUGACAUGAUGUGUAUUAUUUUAGUGUAUUUGUUUAUGAGGAAAACAGAUUUCAGGGUUUUUAACAGGUCUUCAGCAGGAAGACAGCUUUUAUUAUAUCAAUACAAUAAAAUGCAGCAAAUUUUAGCAGCUCUAUGAAUUCCAUUAGCCAGAGCACAUGAUAGAGAAAUCCAAUGUGGUGUGGAUGGGGUGGGGUGAGCGUGGAAGGUUUUACUUGAAGAUGAGAUAUUUUAAAUAGGAGUUAGGGCAUUGUUGGUUGGUGGUGAGAGAGGUUCAGGUAGAGGAAACACUCUACUAUGUUAAGUGAUAGAAAGCAUGACAUUUUUGAGGAGCUAACAAACAACACAGCUGUGAAUGAAGAGAAUAGUGCAAGGUGAAGAAGCAAGGUAAAGCCAGAGAGUUAGGAAGCAGAUCAUACAGGAUUUUUCAAUCCAGAUUAAGAUUUUGGCUUGAAUCUUUUCUUCCUCCCUACCCACCCCCACCCCCGCAAAAUAUUUUCGUUAAAUGAUUCACUGCUGUAAGCACUUGAUAUGUAUUAUUUAUUUCCCACAACAAUCUAAUGAGAUAGAUAUUAUUAUCUUUUCCAUUUUACAGUUAAGAAAACAGGUCAAGAAGGUUGAAUAACUUGUUCAGAGUCACAUGGCUACUGAGUGGUGGAGCUGGGCUUUCAAUUUCGGUAGUAUGCUUCCAAGAACAACAGGAUGCAGUAAAGGAUUUUAGUAGAGGAGAGAUGCCAUCAGUUCCGUUCUUAAAGAGAUUACUCUAGCCAAAAUGUGGAGAAGGGAUCUGGUAAGAGUAGGUGGACCAGUCAGGUGUGUAUUGUAGUAUUCUAGAUAAGAGAUGAUGGUGCCAACAGUGUGGAUGUGACAGAGGAUAUGGAGAGAUGAGUAAUUAAGAGAUUCUUAAGACUUCUACAUGACAGGACCUGGUGACUGGAGGUGCCAAGGAUGAUACCUGUAAUACUGGCAAAAGCAAGCAAGUGGAUCAUGGUGCUAUUUGAUAAGUAGGGCACACUGAAAAAGGAGGUUGUUUGAAGGAGAAGAUCAUCAGUUCAGUUUUUCAUGUGUUGACAUUUGAAGGUAGAAAUGUGGAACAGGUGUUAUAGUGGGUGGACAUGGAGAAGGUGGGUGAGGUCUCAGCUGGAUAUAUGAACUUGGGAUUCAUCCUCCUGUAGAUAAUAUAGAUAUUAACUAAAGCCAUUGAAGGAAAUGAAAUUGCUUAAAGAGAGUGUAGACUGAGAAGAGAAAAAGGCCAAGGACACAAGAAUUGAGUGGAAAAGAAAAACAAAAUCUAUUUAUACAUUGGAUAAAUCCAUAGGGUUGCCUUUUAUACCACAAUCUAUUUUCUGAAUUAUGAAAUACUGACUAGGAUUUGUGAGAACCAGGUUUAUAAUGAGAAUGUUAAUUUAAAUCUUGGACGCAUGGCACCUUAAGAAGCAAAUAGGUCCCAGUGGUCCUUGCUGCAGUCAUGCACAGAAUGCCUUGCAUGUUGGUCUUAUCUAUG